GUGAUGCACGCAUGAAAAAAAAAAUCAUGGAAAUGGCAAUAAAACAGGGAAAACCGGAGAUUUAACGGUACAUAAUUCCGAUAAAUCAGUGCAAUUUGCCAAGAUGAUAAGUGAAUGUCAGUCAACUGAUUAUUUCAAGUUCAACCGCCCGGUGACUAGGGUAAUGAGUAAUGGGAGUAAUUAUCAGACAGUGCUCAAUUAGUGUUAAAUAAUUACGAGGAGAGGACACACCUACUGCGCAGAAGUGCUUAUUUAUCCUGACUUUUUUCCGGCUUUUCAUUCACAUUCUCGUGUUUUCUUUGGUCAUAGACCGGCGGGGGAGGGGGCUCAUUAAAUUUAGUUCAGUGAAGGAUGAGUCACUGAAAUAAACCGCAGGAAAAGAAUUAUUUCUUGGCGUUGAAAUUGCUAAUUUUGUGAUGCAAGUAAUUACUCAUGAAUCAAAAAGCAUGAGGAAUACGGAAACGAAUAAAAUACGUCGAGCCCAAGAUCUGGGAAAAGCACUGAGGCGCUAGAUGCAUGCACCGAAAGGGAUCGAGCGGGUCGAGCGAAGGUUUUCUUCCUGUGCGGGGAAGGGAGGUCCAAGGAGUGCUUCAAGGCAAAGGUAUACCCACUUGUAAGAGAGGUGAGAGGAAUUGGCUUGGGGUCCAGGCAAUGGGCUGUAAGAAGCCGAGUGUAAACAAUAAGAGUCAGAUACGCCGGGGUGGGAGGACUGAGUAAUCUUAUUAACGUUAUAAAUCGCCUGCUUCUGGUGGAUAACCCGGGACCCUCAACUGUGCGGAUGUCUGUGCUGCCCCAGCUCCCUCGAUUUUUCACUCCUGUUUGUUAUUGGAAUGUUUAUGCAUUUGCAUAAUUUUUGUAAUUACAAGUUUUUCACAGUAUGACGUAUCCAUUCGUUGAAUAAUUUUAAAAAUCCCACUAGAACGUAAAAAAUAAAAAUUCUAGUUAUUGUUAC